CAAAUACUCCCUCCGUCCGGAAAUACUUGUCAUCAAAAUGGAUAAAGGAAAUGUAUCUAGGCGUAUUUUAGUUUUAGAUACAUCUCUUUUUAUCCAUUUUGAUGACAAGUAUUUUCGGACGGAGGGAGUAGAAA
rfam:Triticum aestivum genome assembly, contig: Triticum_aestivum_CS42_TGACv1_scaffold_379735_5AL